rnacentral:rRNA from 1 species
AGACCCGAAACCCGGUGAUCUAGCCAUGGGCAGGUUGAAGGUUGGGUAACACUAACUGGAGGACCGAACCGACUAAUGUUGAAAAAUUAGCGGAUGACCUGUGGCUGGGGGUGAAAGGCCAAUCAAACCGGGAGAUAGCUGGUUCUCCCCGAAAGCUAUUUAGGUAGCGCCUCGUGAAUUCAUCUCCGGGGGUAGAGCACUGUUUCGGCUAGGGGGUCAUCCCGACUUACCAACCCGAUGCAAACUGCGAAUACCGGAGAAUGUUAUCACGGGAGACACACGGCGGGUGCUAACGUCCGUCGUGAAGAGGGAAACAACCCAGACCGCCAGCUAAGGUCCCAAAGUCAUGGUUAAGUGGGAAACGAUGUGGGAAGGCCCAGACAGCCAGGAUGUUGGCUUAGAAGCAGCCAUCAUUUAAAGAAAGCGUAAUAGCUCACUGGUCGAGUCGGCCUGCGCGGAAGAUGUAACGGGGCUAAACCAUGCACCGAAGCUGCGGCAGCGACGCUUAUGCGUUGUUGGGUAGGGGAGCGUUCUGUAAGCCUGUGAAGGUGGCCUGUGAGGGUUGCUGGAGGUAUCAGAAGUGCGAAUGCUGACAUAAGUAACGAUAAAGCGGGUGAAAAGCCCGCUCGCCGGAAGACCAAGGGUUCCUGUCCAACGUUAAUCGGGGCAGGGUGAGUCGACCCCUAAGGCGAGGCCGAAAGGCGUAGUCGAUGGGAAACGGGUUAAUAUUCCCGUACUUGGUGUUACUGCGAAGGGGGGACGGAGAAGGCUAUGUUGGCCGGGCGACGGUUGUCCCGGUUUAAGCGUGUAGGUGUGUGUUCCAGGUAAAUCCGGUUCACUUUAACACUGAGGCGUGAUGACGAGGCACUACGGUGCUGAAGCAACAAAUGCCCUGCUUCCAGGAAAAGCCUCUAAGCAUCAGGUAACAUCAAAUCGUACCCCAAACCGACACAGGUGGUCAGGUAGAGAAUACCAAGGCGCUUGAGAGAA